rnacentral:pre_miRNA from 1 species
UAUAUACUCCCUCCGUCCCAAAAUUAUUGUCUUAAAUUUGUCUAAAUACAGAUGUAUCAAGUCACGUUUUAGUAUUAGAUACAUCCGUAUCUAGACUAAUCUAAGACAAGAAUUUCGGGACGGAGGGAGUAUUAA